rnacentral:miRNA from 1 species
AUAUAUAUAUAUAUACACACACACACACACACACACACACACACUGUAUAUCCGUCCCACGUUUCCUCUAGGGAUAGUGUGUGUGUGUGUGUGUGUGUGUGUGUGUGUGUGUAUAUAUAUAUAUAU